rnacentral:rRNA from 1 species
CGCAAGACCUCUUGCUUUUAGGAGCGGCCGAUGUCGGAUUAGCUAGUUGGUGAGGUAAAGGCUCACCAAGGCGACGAUCCGUAGCGGGUCUGAGAGGAUGAUCCGCCACACUGGGACUGAGACACGGCCCAGACUCCUACGGGAGGCAGCAGUGGGGAAUUUUGGACAAUGGGCGCAAGCCUGAUCCAGCCAUGCCGCGUGAGUGAAGAAGGCCUUCGGGUUGUAAAGCUCUUUCGGUGGGGAAGAAAUUGCUUCGGUUAAUACCUGGAGUAGAUGACGGUACCCGCAUAAGAAGCACCGGCUAACUACGUG